GAAAUGCGAUAAGUAGUGUGAAUUGCAGAAUUCAGUGAAUCAUCGAAUCUUUGAACGCACAUUGCGCCCCUUGGUAUUCCAUGGGGCAUGCCUGUUCGAGCGUCAUUUGUACCCUCAAGCUCUGCUUGGUGUUGGGUGUUUGUCCCGUCUCCGCGCGUGGACUCGCCCCAAAGUGAUUGGCAGCCGGCGUACUGGUCCCGGAGCGCAGCACAUGUCGCGCAAACGAGUGCCUUGGUACGGCGGCGUCCAUAAGCCCCUCUCUCACGCUCUUGACCUCGGAUCAGGUAGAGAUACCCGCUGAACUUAAGC
rnacentral:misc_RNA from 1 species